CAGGGUUGAUCCACGGCAACAAAUAUGGGAGUGAAUGUCACCGCAGCCCUCUCCAGCCCUCCAGGGCUGAACCUCGCAGACGUCAAGUGUUAAUUUAGGGUUCCUGCCGAGCAGGAGCCUGUCAGUGGCGAGGCUUGGAGAAGGGAGAGAGGCGAGGUCUUUAAGAUCAUGGACAUUAGCAGAGAAGACAAGAGAAGAUCAUUUUGAAAAACUCACUUCAUUUGGAGCUG